GUGUUGAUUACGUCCCUGCUCUUUGUACACACCGCCCGUCGCUCCUACCGAUCGAGUGUUUAGGUGAAUUUGAUGGACGUAAGGAAGUCAAAUAAACCUGAGCACUUAGAGGAAGGAUAGUCGUAACAAGGUUUCCGUAGGUG
rnacentral:rRNA from 1 species